ACCGCCGGCUGCGCCACGUUGAAUACACCAGUUCUCGUCCGAUCACUGAAGUUAAGCAACGUUGGGCGUGGUCAGUACUCGGAUGGGUGACUGUCUGGGAGAUCACGUGUUGUUGGUU
rnacentral:rRNA from 1 species